UUGUUGAAGUUGCUGCAGUUAAAAAGCUCGUAGUUGAAUAUCCGGCGUCUCUGGCGUCUGCCCGACUCGGCUGUAGAUGUUGAGAAACUUUUACUGUUCGAUCAGGCGUUUACUGUGAACAAAUUAGAGUGCUCAAAACAGGCUUUUGCUUGAAUUUUUUAGCAUGGAAUAAUAAAAUACGACUUCGCUCAUUUUAUUGGUUCUUGAACGAAGUAAUGGUUAACAGGAACAGUUGGGGGCAUUCGUACUUAAAAGUCAGAGGUGAAAUUCUUAGAUUUUUUAAAGACGAACUAAUGCGAAGGCAUUUGCCAAGGAUGUUUUCAUUAAUCAAGAACGAAAGCGUUGGGAUCAAAAAGGAUCAGAUACCCUUGUAGUCAACGCCGUAAACGAUACUGACUAGGGAUUGGUGAGGCGAACCCUCAUCAGCACCUAAUGAGAAAUCAAAGUCUUUGAGUUCUGGGGAGAGUAUGGUCGCAAGGCUGAAACUUAAAGGAAUUGACGGAAAGAUACACAAGUCGUGGAUUCUGCGGCUUAAUUUGAUUCAACACGGGAAAACUUACGCAGGCAAAAAGCUAGUAGGAUUGACAGCUUGAUAGCACUUUCUUGAUUUGGCAGCGAGUGGUGCAUGGC
rnacentral:rRNA from 1 species